GACAGAGGGUGCAAACGUUGCUCGGAAUCACUGGGCGUAAAGGGCGUGUAGGCGGGAAGGAUAGUCAGAUGUGAAAUCCCUGGGCUCAACCCAGGAACUGCAUUUGAAACUCCCUUUCUUGAGUGUCGGAGAGGAAAGCGGAAUUCCUGGUGUAGAGGUGAAAUUCGUAGAUAUCAGGAGGAACACCGGUGGCGAAGGCGGCUUUCUGGACGACAACUGACGCUGAGACGCGAAAGCGUGGGGAGCGAACAGG
rnacentral:rRNA from 1 species